UUUUCUUGUUUAAUGCAUUACAUGUUCAGGCAUGUAAAGUAUAAUUAUUAUUGUAUAAUUGUAUUUAAUUUUGUUGCGAAAUAGAAUUAAUUAUUUAACAUAGUGUGUCGAUGUUUUGCUGACGUCACUUGCGCGCCAGCUCGUGGUGAGAGAUGCAAGCCGCAUUUCGGCUGCUGCCUAAUCUUUUACAUCCUCGCCAUUUCUUCUUUAAAUGAAUGCCUGAACUGUUUUGUUGCAUUAGACUGAUUCAUUGCGUCGUGGUCGUUUUGGAUUCGCGCCAGAAGGGGAGAAACAAGUUGGAUUUCACUACAGAUGGAUUGUGCAAUCAGAGGAUUCGUUCGUAAGGAAGGAAAGGUUUUUCUUCAUUGUUCAUUCCGGCAAGGAUUUUGUAGGCACUCAUACACACACAUUGACUGAACUGAGCUAAAACAUUUCCUACUUCAUUCAGGACUUUGGUAUUCAUCUAAUUUUUUUUUUCAUAGUAUUAUUAUUAUCUGUAUUUUUUUAUCUUCAACUUAUUUGUUGACUGACAGCUUUACUGUUCAGUGACUGAAUUGUGAUCAACUAAAGAUUUUGUUUUGUUUUAGAAAAGGUUUCAAGCAUACUGCAGUGCAGUAUAAUAAGGAAAAGAGAAAGUUAUUGAAUACAAGAAAAGGUGCAAACUGA